AACGAACGCUGGCGGCAGGCUUAACACAUGCAAGUCGAGCGCCCCGCAAGGGGAGCGGCAGACGGGUGAGUAACGCGUGGGAAUCUACCCAUCUCUACGGAAUAACGCAUGGAAACGUGUGCUAAUACCGUAUACGUCCUUCGGGAGAAAGAUUUAUCGGAGAUGGAUGAGCCCGCGUUGGAUUAGCUAGUUGGUGGGGUAAAGGCCUACCAAGGCGACGAUCCAUAGCUGGUCUGAGAGGAUGAUCAGCCACACUGGGACUGAGACACGGCCCAGACUCCUACGGGAGGCAGCAGUGGGGAAUAUUGGACAAUGGGCGCAAGCCUGAUCCAGCCGUGCCGCGUGAGUGAUGAAGGCCCUAGGGUUGUAAAGCUCUUUCACCGGUGAAGAUAAUGAUGGUAACCGGAGAAGAAGCCCCGGCUAACUUCGUGCCAGCCGCCGCCGUAAGAC
rnacentral:rRNA from 1 species